rnacentral:rRNA from 1 species
UGCGAUCUCAACUCAUACGUGACUACCCCCUAAAUAAAGGCCUUGGUUG